GGGGAACCAGGACUUUUACUUUGAAAAAAUUAGAGUGCUCCAGGCAGGCCUAUGCUCGAAUACAUUAGCAUGGAAUAAUAGAAUAGGACGUGUGGUUCUAUUUUGUUGGUUCCUAGGACCGCCGUAAUGAUUAAUAGGGACAGUCGGGGGCAUCAGUAUUCAAUUGUCAGAGGUGAAAUUCUUGGAUCUAUUGAAGACUAACUACUGCGAAAGCAUUUGCCAAGGAUGUUUUCAUUGAUAAGGAACGAAAGUUAGGGGAUCGAAGACGAUCAGAUACCGUCGUAGUCUUAACUAUAAACUAUGCCGACUAGGGAUCGGACGAUGUUAUCUUUUGACGCGUUCGGCACCUUUCGAGAAAUCAAAGUGCUUGGGCUCCAGGGGGAGUAUGGUCGCAAGGCUGAAACUUAAAGAAAUUGACGGAAGGGCACCACCAGGGGUGGAACCUGCGGCUUAAUUUGACACAACACGGGGAAACUCACCAGGUCCAGACACAGUGAGGAUUGACAGAUUGAGAGCUCUUUCUUGAUUCUGUGGGUGGUGGUGCAUGGCCGUUCUUAGUUGGUGGAGUGAUUUGUCUGCUUAAUUGCGAUAACGAACGAGACCU
rnacentral:rRNA from 1 species